GAUGAACGCUGGCGGCGUGCCUAAUACAUGCAAGUCGAGCGAACGGACGAGAAGCUUGCUUCUCUGAUGUUAGCGGCGGACGGGUGAGUAACACGUGGAUAACCUACCUAUAAGACUGGGAUAACUUCGGGAAACCGUAGCUAAUGCCGGAUAAUAUUUUGAACCGCAUGGUUCAAAAGUGAAAGACGGUCUUGCUGUCACUUAUAGAUGGAUCCGCGCUGCAUUAGCUAGUUGGUAAGGUAACGGCUUACCAAGGCAACGAUGCAUAGCCGACCUGAGAGGGUGAUCGGCCACACUGGAACUGAGACACGGUCCAGACUCCUACGGGAGGCAGCAGUAGGGAAUCUUCCGCAAAGGGCGAAAGCCUGACGGAGCAACGCCGCGUGAGUGAUGAAGGUCUUCGGAUCGUAAAACUCUGUUAUUAGGGAAGAACAUAUGUGUAAGUAACUGUGCACAUCUUGACGGUACCUAAUCAGAAAGCCACGGCUAACUACGUG
rnacentral:rRNA from 1 species